rnacentral:rRNA from 1 species
UACGUAGGGUGCGAGCGUUAAUCGGAAUUACUGGGCGUAAAGCGUGCGCAGGCGGUUUUGUAAGACAGAGGUGAAAUCCCCGGGCUCAACCUGGGAACUGCCUUUGUGACUGCAACGCUAGAGUACGGCAGAGGGGGAUGGAAUUCCGCGUGUAGCAGUGAAAUGCGUAGAUAUGCGGAGGAACACCGAUGGCGAAGGCAAUCCCCUGGGCCUGUACUGACGCUCAUGCACGAAAGCGUGGGGAGCAAACAGG